rnacentral:rRNA from 1 species
GAUGAACGCUAGCUACAGGCUUAACACAUGCAAGUCGAGGGGAAACGACAUCGAAAGCUUGCUUUUGAUGGGCGUCGACCGGCGCACGGGUGAGUAACGCGUAUCCAACCUGCCCAUCACUUGGGAAUAACCUUGCGAAAGUAAGACUAAUACCCAAUGACAUCCCACGAAGACAUCUGAAUGGGAUUAAAGAUUUAUCGGUGAUGGAUGGGGAUGCGUCUGAUUAGCUUGUUGGCGGGGUAACGGCCCACCAAGGCAACGAUCAGUAGGGGUUCUGAGAGGAAGGUCCCCCACAUUGGAACUGAGACACGGUCCAAACGCCUACGGGAGGCAGCAGUGAGGAAUAUUGGUCAAUGGGCGAGAGCCUGAACCAGCCAAGUAGCGUGCAGGAGGACGGCCCUAUGGGUUGUAAACUGCUUUUAUAAGGGAAGAAAGUGGGUCUCGUGAGACUUUUUGCAUGUACCUUAUGAAUAAGGACCGGCUAAUUCCGUG